AGGAGCCGUAUGAGCGGGAAACUCUCACGUGCGGUUCUGAAGGAGAGGUGAAGGUUGGUGACUUCCUCAUCGACUCUAA
rfam:Cyanothece sp. PCC 7822 plasmid Cy782202, complete sequence.